AAAAAAAAAUAAAAAUUAAGAAGCAGUCCAUAUGUCAUUUUUUAUAGAAAAUGAUGAAAGUAGGCAAAUUAUGUGAUCAAUUUCAAAGUUCUCAUCAUGAAUUCCUUUGUAGCUUUCUAUUCACAGAUAACUUAUAUGGAAAAACAUUCCAUACAUAUAGCUUUCUAUCCGAAAACAAAAUUAAGAAAAAUGGGAAACAAGUCAAAAGUGAUCGAUGUGUUACAAUUUCUCUAAUUAAUCAAAUGUUUACGUCUAGAAUCUGUAAUGUUUAUCUUCCAAUGCUCAUCACUGAAUCCCAUCUGUCUAGCCAUCUUUCUCUCCCAGUCCAACUCUAUCUUUCUCCGCUUUGUUAACCCACAAAACUCCUGCAAAUUCUCAUCCAUUCCAUCGUGAAAUUUCCACCAGCUUUUAUGUGCAACAUCACUUGCAUAAACCCUUUGAUCCCCUACAUUCCAGUUACAGUCAUAGUCCCUGUAACAAUUCCAAGGUUUCAACCCCAGAUAAUGAAUCGAGUAAACUUUUGGUGGGUCUGCACCAAAUAGCUCGUUCUUGACACUUGCCUCAAGUGUAGUAUUAGCCCAAAAAUUCUUCAGAAAGUUCACUCUUCUUGGCAACCUAUGCCACCAGACAAAGACCUCGUUGAGGAAACCUUGAUCUCCACCAUUGUAGGAGAUAAUGUCCUUACGACGAUCCAUUAGAAAAUUGAAGGUGCAAUUUGAAGGUUCAAUGACCAUAAUCCCAGAAUUAAAGAUCCAAACAUCAUUUCCUACGGCAGUCAUUUGAGGAAAGUGGAAGAGAAUGUCAAGAUUACGUAAAACUAUAAUGUCUGAAUCUAUGAAAAUGAUCUUGUCAUAAUCAGUGAGCUGCCAGAGCCUGAACUUGCUGUAGUUGUACUCGUUGUAUGAGUAUUUUUCGGCUCGAGGGUUUCGGAUUCUUUUGAUGAGUCGGAUCUUCCAGCCGGCGGCUGCGAGGGCUUCACGCUUGGGUUGAGAAAUGGAUCUGUCGAGGAGAAGGAUAAGGUCUCGCUUUGUGCCUGUUUGGAGGAGGCUUUGGGCAAGAGCUAUGGCUCCACAAACGUAGGAUUCGGAUGAAUGGAGAACUGUCACAUACGCCUCCCUCCUCGCUGUCCUUGUUGUGCUCUGAAUCUUUGACACAUCGUAUGUUUCGUCGAUACCUUUCGCCCAUAAAGGCAAAGCAAGCUUGCAAGACCCAAUAGGCAAAGAAGCCUUUUGUUCCAGCCUUGACAUGUCUGGCUCGUAGAACCACCAAUCACCUUCCUGUCUCACCAAGUCAUUGCAUCGAAAGAGCUCCAGCAUUGGCCUGCACUUGCUCCAAAACACUACUUUAGUCUUCCAACUCCAAUCCCUCCUCCCUUUCUUCACUGCCAAAUUUGCAGCUACAAGAUGCACUUGAUGCCUAAACACCUCUCUAUUCCACAAUUCUUGAGGGUACUUGCAUGGCAAUUUGGCCACUAUUAUGUCGAUAUCAUCAUAUGCUUUAAAAUCUGGCAUUGGAAUCUCUGGGCAGGACGUGCCUUCCAGUUCUUCCUCCUCAUCAAUCCAUUCAGGAAAUAAAUCUUCCCAUUUAAAAAACUCGGAGACUCUUUCAAAAUAGAUAGGUAUAAUUUCUCCAUGUAUUUUCCAGUCGCUAACAUCAUCUUCAUCCAUAUUGACCAUGCCAAUCUUCAUUCCUUUACCCAUAUUGUUCAUGAAGCUUGGCACCUCAAUCUUAGUCAUAUUACGUUUUGGCUUUGGCGUACUGGGUUGACUCUCUUCCAAGACUGCCUUCAUCUUAACACCAGUUUCCAUCUUACCUUGUGAUGGCACUCGCUCAAUGAGCACCUAACAAGAGAAGCUGCAUUCUCAAAAUAGACAGAAGAAGAUGGCCGGAGAAGAAGGGAAGCAUAGAUAACAAGAAACAAAGCAAGAAAAACCAAAUUGAUUCUAAUAACCAAAGCCUUAGAAGGAGUGGUCUUUAACAUCUUUUGAAGGUUGAGUCCCUCACCCAUCUUUAAGCCUACAACUCUACAAGUACUGCUAUGCCCUCAAAAGGGAACUUUGCUUAGCAUAUAUAUAUCUUAACCAACUUCCUCGGUUUUAAAUUUAUUUAUAGUAAUUAAUCAUGAUGAUUAAUAUGUUUAAUAUAAGGGAUUUGGGGUGUAGUAGUUAGAGGAUUAAGAGAGCAAAAAUUAGAGUAAAACUCAAACGACGUGAUACCAUUUAGAGAGCUCCGUGUGGCAAAUUUUAUAGUGGUUCUGAUUUCCUUGUCUUGAAGACAAAAAGGCCGGAGAAAAUAAUGCUUCACUUCUUUCCCAUCCUAUUGGUGCUGUAUAUAUUAUCUCGUCAAAAUUCCUAAUAUGCCCUCUUCCCCCGGCUGCCCCUCUCCUUUGUAGUCCUUUAUUGGGCUUAAAAAUAAGAUUGGACCUCUAAUGUAGCUCAAUUCGGUGGAUCUUUUUUACUGAAUU
rnacentral:misc_RNA from 1 species